rnacentral:rRNA from 1 species
AACGGGGGGGAACGAGUCUUUAUUCGGCAUAAUUGGGCAUAAAGGGUCUGUAGGUGGUUUCAUAAGCUUUAAAAAAUAAAGGCUUAGAUAAACAACAAGAGCAUUUUUUAGAACUGUGAAGCUUUUUGAGGAUGGUUGAAGGUAAUGGUACUCUUAAUGAAGAGUGUGAAAUUCUAAGAAAUUAACGGGGACUGACCAGAGGUGAAGACGAUUACCUUGAAACAUAAGCCUGACACUGAGGGACGAAAGCAUGGGGAGCAAACAGUUU